UACGUAGGAGGCAAGCGUUGUCCGGAAUCACUGGGUGUAAAGGGUGCGCAGGCGGGAAGGUAAGUCAACGGUGAAAUCUCACAGCUUAACUGUGAAACUGCCAUUGAUACUGCUUUUCUUGAGUUCGGGAGAGGGUGGUGGAAUUCUUGGUGUAGCGGUGAAAUGCGUAGAUAUCAAGAAGAACACCAGUGGCGAAGGCGGCCACCUGGCCCGUAACUGACGCUCAUGCACGAAAGCGUGGGGAUCAAACAGG
rnacentral:rRNA from 1 species